CCAAUAGCUGGAAAGGGGGUACCAUGGGGGAAGAAGGGGGCCGCCGGUCUGGGAAGGCUCCCUGGAGGCGGCAGCCUCUUCCUUGGGCUGGGUGCUGCUCCCACUUGGCGAGACUGGCCCCCGAGGGGCCUCGAAGCUCAGCGGGCCCCAUCCCAUCGGUCUACCCCGCCGCAGGGGCGCCAGAAGGGGCCCCGGGGCCCGGCCCCCGGAGCCUUCGGCCGCUUCGCGCUCCAGCUGCUCGAGCAGAGCCUGCGGGACGAGGAGCUGCGCGCGCAGCACCGGGCCGCGCUGCUGCGCCUGCGCGAGAAGGCUCUGGAGGAGAAGGCGCGCGCGGAGCUGGCCUGGCUGGAGCAGCGGCGGCGAGGGUGUCUGAGUGGCAACGGCAGCUACACAGCGCUGCUGGCCUUGGCAGGAAGGCAGCACCAGGCCCUGAGCAACCUCGAGCAGGAGCAGAGGGAGAUCCGACGCCUGCGGAAGCAGCACCUGCUCGCGCACCAGGAGAGGAAGCUGCUCCUGCAGCAUCAGAAGGACGCCCUGUCCAUGCAGAGGUCCACCGCCCUCUCGCAGCAGGAGCCUCGGGCCCAGACCGGGCUGCUCCAGGUGGGCGCUCUCUCCUGGCCUGGGGGCUCACCGUCACCGGGCGGCUUUGUGGGAACGUGCAAGUUCCUUGCAAAGACACCUGUGGCCCGGGUGGGAAGGGCCU
rnacentral:lncRNA from 1 species